GAUGAACGCUGGCGGCGUGCCUAAUACAUGCAAGUCGAGCGAAUGGAUUAAGAGCUUGCUCUUAUGAAGUUAGCGGCGGACGGGUGAGUAACACGUGGGUAACCUGCCCAUAAGACUGGGAUAACUCCGGGAAACCGGGGCUAAUACCGGAUAACAUUUUGAACCGCAUGGUUCGAAAUUGAAAGGCGGCUUCGGCUGUCACUUAUGGAUGGACCCGCGUCGCAUUAGCUAGUUGGUGAGUUAACGGCUCACCAAGGCCACGAUGCGUAGCCGACCUGAGAGGGUGAUCGGCCACACUGGGACUGAGACACGGCCCAGACUCCUACGGGAGGCAGCAGUAGGGAAUCUUCCGCAAUGGACGAAAGUCUGACGGAGCAACGCCGCGUGAGUGAUGAAGGCUUUCGGGUCGUAAAACUCUGUUGUUAGGGAAGAACAAGUGCUAGUUGAAUAAGCUGGCACCUUGACGGUACCUAACCAGAAAGCCACGGCUAACUACGUGCCAGCAGCCGCCGUAA
rnacentral:rRNA from 1 species